UAUUGUAUUGUGAUUGUAUGAUGUAUUGAAGUAAUUAUUUCCCAUUUAGAAAAAAAAUAGUUAAUAAUCAAGAGAGGUCUGGUUUCGUAACAAAGAUUUACCAAAUUCAUCAACGUAAUAUUUCUGCUUUACAUCUGACUACAAUGAUUAUUUUUAUUGGCAUUUAGCACCAACAAUGGCAAAAAAUUGGCCUUACGUAAAUCAUUCAUUUAGAGAAACAACUUUAAGUUGACUCGAUAU
rnacentral:lncRNA from 1 species